UUUCACAUGCAGUGCAAGGUCAGUUCAUUUAGGCACAUUAUCAAAUACCUUUGUUACAUCAGCGUAUAAAUCCGAUAAAGUUACCCAAUGCAUGUGAAAAUCUAAUAAGACCUCUAUCCGAAAGAACAUAGAAACUACCAAAUUAACACCCAAUUUCAGUCCAUAAAAAAGUCGAAUGAAGCAUGUUUAUGAGGUUGUCAUUUUGGAACCAAUUCCGUAUAAAUGAAAUAUCAAUGUGUCUGAAGCUCGCACAUACAAUCCACUUUUUAUAUAUAAGCAUUGGAAUACCACUUAACGAAAAUCAUGACAAUCGAUAUGAAAAAUUAAAAUAACCCCCCAAAAAGGUCUUAAUAGUUUGUUCAUGAAGAAAAAGGUUCAUUCAUUACCUCUCAAUAUGAGCCGCCCAGAGAUUACUUAAAAGUAGCUUCUUUGCAAUCCCUAUCUGCGUUUCAGUUGCUUGGUCACAUUGAAUUUUUUUACAUCCCCAAUUUCAAAUCUUAUGUUAAAAUUUCAUUAAAGUAAAAGAAAUUACUCACAUGCAACACUUCAAAAAUAUGUGAUAUCAGACGAACCAAGAAUACAUAUAGAAAAGAAUAGUGAAACAUAGCUCACAGUUUACCAAGAAUCAAACAGCAAAAUGAAGAAAGAGGGAAAAGGCAGAGAAGAAAAAGAGAGCAUUUUCGAAGGAGGAGGAAAGCAGCGAAAUGGCUGAUAUUGAAGUGGAAAAAUGGG
rnacentral:lncRNA from 1 species